CAACUUUUAACGGUGGAUCUCUUGGCUCGUGCAUCGAUGAAGAACGCAGCCAGCUGCGAUAAGUAGUGUGAAUUGCAGAAU
rnacentral:rRNA from 1 species